GUACACCUCCCUCCCAGUCCUGGCCAUGGGCGUCUUUGACCAGGAUGUUCCAGAGCAGCGAAGCAUGGAGUACCCUAAGCUGUAUGAGCCUGGCCAGCUGAACCUCCUAUUCAACAAGCGAGAGUUCUUCAUCUGCAUCGCCCAGGGCAUCUACACCUCUGUGCUCAUGUUCUUCAUUCCUUAUGGGGUGUUUGCCGAGGCCACCCGGGAUGAUGGCACCCAGCUGGCAGACUACCAGUCCUUCGCAGUCACUGUGGCCACAUCGCUGGUCAUUGUGGUCAGUGUGCAGAUUGGGCUGGAUACAGGCUAUUGGACAGCCAUCAACCACUUUUUCAUCUGGGGCAGCCUCGCAGUUUACUUCGCCAUCCUCUUUGCCAUGCACAGCAAUGGGCUCUUUGACAUGUUUCCAAACCAGUUCCGGUUUGUGGGUAAGUACCCGUGGCAUCCUUUUAAUGAUGGAUGACUCGUGUGUGAUCUAGGGACAUAGGAUAUAGACAGCUAACACUUACCAGUAGUUUGCAUGCCAGGUACCUUGCAAGGUACAAUGCAAUAUGAAGAGGUGGUUGACCCAGGCCCUGCCGCCAAGGAGCGUCUACGUCCGUGAGAGUGAUGAAAAGCCCUUCUGGCUGUGGAAUGUCAGAGCUCCAAGGAGGUCGGGGCGGCAGGCUUCGCGGUCAGCAGUGUGCCAGUGGGGGUGACCAGGGACAGGCCUGUAGAGGAGACUGCCGUUAGUAAGCGGAGCCGGGAAUGCGAAGGUACCACUUGCCUCUUGGAAAGCAAGAGCAAGAGGCCUGGGGAAGCAGGGAGAAGAGAGAGGUCUCAGAAUGCCAGGCUACCAAGUGUGCCUUGCUUUUCCUUGCCAGAAGUCUUGAUUUAC
rnacentral:lncRNA from 1 species